UGUGGUGGAUGAUGAGAUCAAAUAAAUUCACAGUUAUCCCUGUCUGAGAUAAUAUCUGCUGACAAUUUGUGAUCUGACACUACC
rfam:Daucus carota subsp. sativus cultivar DH1 chromosome 5, whole genome shotgun sequence.